UAGUUGUAUUAUUAGUUAAUGCAAGAUCGACUACGUCGACUAAAGUUCUAGGUAGAAUAAUGAUGAUGACAAUUUUUUACCUAUAUGUCUUGACCAAGUCUCGUGCCAGCAGUCGCGGUAAUACGUGGAAGACUAGUGUUAUUCAUCUUUAUUAGGUUUAAAGGGUACCUAGACGGUAUUUCUAGCCCAAAAUAGGGUACGGAUUUACUAGAGUUUUAUGUGAGGAGGGGAGUACUCGUGGAGUAGAGAUGAAAUUUUGUUAUACUAUGAGGUAACUGGUGGCGGCGAAAGCAACCUUCUAUGUAUAAACUGACGUUGAGGGACGAAGGCUUGGGUAGCAAAUAGGAUUAGAUACCCUAGUAGUCCAAGCAGACAAUUCUGAAUGCCAUAGAUUAGAUUAUUUUUGAUCUAUAAAUGAAAGUGUAAGCAUUCCACCUUAGGAGUAAUGUGGCAACACAGGAACUGAAAUCAUUAGACCGUUUCUGAAACCAGUAGUGAAGUAUGUUAUUUAAUUUGAUGGUCCACAAAAAACCUUACCACAACUUGAAUAUUUUUUAAUUAAUACAAGCGUUGCACGGCUGUCUUCAGUUAAUGUCGUGAGAUUUUGGUUAACUCCAUUAAUUAACGUAAACCCUUACUUUAUUUA
rnacentral:rRNA from 1 species